GGUGUACGUGAUGUUUAAAGCGAUCAAAGUAUGAAAUCCGUGAUUCCAACUUUUUACUACUGAUGCACC